CCUACGGGAGGCAGCAGUGAGGAAUAUUGGUCAAUGGCCGAAAGGCUGAACCAGCCAAGUCGCGUGAGGGAAGACGGCCCUACGGGUUGUAAACCGCUUUUGUCGGGGAGCAAAGAGAGUCACGUGUGACUCAUUGAGAGUACCCGAAGAAAAAGCAUCGGCUAACUCCGUGCCAGCAGCCGCGGUAAUACGGAGGAUGCAAGCGUUAUCCGGAUUUAUUGGGUUUAAAGGGUGCGCAGGCGGCGGUGCAAGUCAGCGGUCAAAUCGCGGGGCUCAACCCCGUACUGCCGUUGAAACUGCACGCCUAGAGUGCGCGAGCAGUAGGCGGAAUGCGUGGUGUAGCGGUGAAAUGCAUAGAUAUCACGCAGAACUCCGAUUGCGAAGGCAGCAUACCGGGGUGCAACUGACGUUGAUGCACGAAAGCGUGGGUAUCGAACAGGAUUAGAUACCCUAGUAGUC
rnacentral:rRNA from 1 species